rnacentral:rRNA from 1 species
AUUGAACGCUGGCGGAAUGCUUUACACAUGCAAGUCGAACGGCAGCACGGACUUCGGUCUGGUGGCGAGUGGCGAACGGGUGAGUAAUGUAUCGGAACGUGCCCAGUCGUGGGGGAUAACGUAGUGAAAAUUACGCUAAUACCGCAUACGAUCUAUGGAUGAAAGCGGGGGAUCGCAAGACCUCGCGCGAUUGGAGCGGCCGAUAUCAGAUUAGGUAGUUGGUGGGGUAAAGGCCCACCAAGCCAACGAUCUGUAGCUGGUCGGAGAGGACGACCAGCCACGCUGGAACUGAGACACGGUCCAGACUCCUACGGGAGGCAGCAGUGGGGAAUUUUGGACAAUGGGCGAAAGCCUGAUCCAGCCAUUCCGCGUGCAAGAUGGAGCCCCUCGGGUUGUAAACUGCUUUUGUACAGAACGAAAAGGUUUCUACUAAUACUAGGAGCUCAUGACGGUACUGUAAGAAUAAGCACCGGCUAACUACGUGCCAGCCGCCGCCGUAA